AGCGUACACGGUGGAUGCCCUGGCAGUCAGAGGCGAUGAAGGACGUGCUAAUCUGCGAUAAGCGUCGGUAAGGUGAUAUGAACCGUUAUAACCGGCGAUUUCCGAAUGGGGAAACCCAGUGUGAUUCGUCACACUAUCAUUAACUGAAUCCAUAGGUUAAUGAGGCGAACCGGGGGAACUGAAACAUCUAAGUACCCCGAGGAAAAGAAAUCAACCGAGAUUCCCCCAGUAGCGGCGAGCGAACGGGGAGCAGCCCAGAGCCUGAAUCAGUGUGUGUGUUAGUGGAAGCGUCUGGAAAGGCGUGCGAUACAGGGUGACAGCCCCGUACACAAAAAUGCACAUAUUGUGAGCUCGAUGAGUAGGGCGGGACACGUGGUAUCCUGUCUGAAUAUGGGGGGACCAUCCUCCAAGGCUAAAUACUCCUGACUGACCGAUAGUGAACCAGUACCGUGAGGGAAAGGCGAAAAGAACCCCGGCGAGGGGAGUGAAAAAGAACCUGAAACCGUGUACGUACAAGCAGUGGGAGCACGCUUAGGCGUGUGACUGCGUACCUUUUGUAUAAUGGGUCAGCGACUUAUAUUCUGUAGCAAGGUUAACCGAAUAGGGGAGCCGAAGGGAAACCGAGUCUUAACUGGGCGUUAAGUUGCAGGGUAUAGACCCGAAACCCGGUGAUCUAGCCAUGGGCAGGUUGAAGGUUGGGUAACACUAACUGGAGGACCGAACCGACUAAUGUUGAAAAAUUAGCGGAUGACUUGUGGCUGGGGGUGAAAGGCCAAUCAAACCGGGAGAUAGCUGGUUCUCCCCGAAAGCUAUUUAGGUAGCGCCUCGUGAAUUCAUCUCCGGGGGUAGAGCACUGUUUCGGCAAGGGGGUCAUCCCGACUUACCAACCCGAUGCAAACUGCGAAUACCGGAGAAUGUUAUCACGGGAGACACACGGCGGGUGCUAACGUCCGUCGUGAAGAGGGAAACAACCCAGACCGCCAGCUAAGGUCCCAAAGUCAUGGUUAAGUGGGAAACGAUGUGGGAAGGCCCAGACAGCCAGGAUGUUGGCUUAGAAGCAGCCAUCAUUUAAAGAAAGCGUAAUAGCUCACUGGUCGAGUCGGCCUGCGCGGAAGAUGUAACGGGGCUAAACCAUGCACCGAAGCUGCGGCAGCGACGCUGAUGCGUUGUUGGGUAGGGGAGCGUUCUGUAAGCCUGCGAAGGUGUGCUGUGAGGCAUGCUGGAGGUAUCAGAAGUGCGAAUGCUGACAUAAGUAACGAUAAAGCGGGUGAAAAGCCCGCUCGCCGGAAGACCAAGGGUUCCUGUCCAACGUUAAUCGGGGCAGGGUGAGUCGACCCCUAAGGCGAGGCCGAAAGGCGUAGUCGAUGGGAAACAGGUUAAUAUUCCUGUACUUGGUGUUACUGCGAAGGGGGGACGGAGAAGGCUAUGUUGGCCGGGCGACGGUUGUCCCGGUUUAAGCGUGUAGGCUGGUUUUCCAGGCAAAUCCGGAAAACUAAGGCUGAGGCGUGAUGACGAGGCACUACGGUGCUGAAGCAACAAAUGCCCUGCUUCCAGGAAAAGCCUCUAAGCAUCAGGUAACAUCAAAUCGUACCCCAAACCGACACAGGUGGUCAGGUAGAGAAUACCAAGGCGCUUGAGAGAACUCGGGUGAAGGAACUAGGCAAAAUGGUGCCGUAACUUCGGGAGAAGGCACGCUGAUAUGUAGGUGAAGCGACUUGCUCGUGGAGCUGAAAUCAGUCGAAGAUACCAGCUGGCUGCAACUGUUUAUUAAAAACACAGCACUGUGCAAACACGAAAGUGGACGUAUACGGUGUGACGCCUGCCCGGUGCCGGAAGGUUAAUUGAUGGGGUCAGCGCAAGCGAAGCUCUUGAUCGAAGCCCCGGUAAACGGCGGCCGUAACUAUAACGGUCCUAAGGUAGCGAAAUUCCUUGUCGGGUAAGUUCCGACCUGCACGAAUGGCGUAAUGAUGGCCAGGCUGUCUCCACCCGAGACUCAGUGAAAUUGAACUCGCUGUGAAGAUGCAGUGUACCCGCGGCAAGACGGAAAGACCCCGUGAACCUUUACUAUAGCUUGACACUGAACAUUGAGCCUUGAUGUGUAGGAUAGGUGGGAGGCUUUGAAGUGUGGACGCCAGUCUGCAUGGAGCCGACCUUGAAAUACCACCCUUUAAUGUUUGAUGUUCUAACGUGGACCCGUGAUCCGGGUUGCGGACAGUGUCUGGUGGGUAGUUUGACUGGGGCGGUCUCCUCCUAAAGAGUAACGGAGGAGCACGAAGGUUGGCUAAUCCUGGUCGGACAUCAGGAGGUUAGUGCAAUGGCAUAAGCCAGCUUGACUGCGAGCGUGACGGCGCGAGCAGGUGCGAAAGCAGGUCAUAGUGAUCCGGUGGUUCUGAAUGGAAGGGCCAUCGCUCAACGGAUAAAAGGUACUCCGGGGAUAACAGGCUGAUACCGCCCAAGAGUUCAUAUCGACGGCGGUGUUUGGCACCUCGAUGUCGGCUCAUCACAUCCUGGGGCUGAAGUAGGUCCCAAGGGUAUGGCUGUUCGCCAUUUAAAGUGGUACGCGAGCUGGGUUUAGAACGUCGUGAGACAGUUCGGUCCCUAUCUGCCGUGGGCGCUGGAGAACUGAGGGGGGCUGCUCCUAGUACGAGAGGACCGGAGUGGACGCAUCACUGGUGUUCGGGUUGUCAUGCCAAUGGCACUGCCCGGUAGCUAAAUGCGGAAGAGAUAAGUGCUGAAAGCAUCUAAGCACGAAACUUGCCCCGAGAUGAGUUCUCCCUGACUCCUUGA
rnacentral:rRNA from 1 species